AAACCUAAUUUUUCCCAAAUAAUCCAAUCAAUCACAUACAAAUUACAAUGAAAAAAAAGAUUAAAAAAUUUCAUCAAUCUAUCAGAUAGAAUGGUUUAUGAAAUUGUUGAAAAUUGAAAUCUUUUAAGAACAAAUGAGGAAGAUGCCGAAUGAUGAAGCUAAUCCCAUCAUACAGUACUGUGGCAAAAUCAAGUUGACACAAAUUUUUGUAUGGUUGACAUGAAACUAAAGCAAAGUGCGUAAAAAAAU
rnacentral:misc_RNA from 1 species